rnacentral:lncRNA from 7 species
CUCAGUUAAUAAGACUGAUUACAAUGCAGGUUACAGGCAUGGGAAAAGCAAAGCAGGUGAAAAGAUGUUUUAAUGAAAAUAUGAUAAGCAAACAGCUUCUUGUGAACAUUUCAGGCUGUUAUUUGUAAUGAUCACAGGCAAUUUUUGAUACAUCUUCUUUAGCAAUGGUUUAAGCUGCAUAAAUUGGCUUGCCACUUUAUACGUCGAAAUAGGAAGAAUCCCAGUGUCCUUCUUAUGUUGUCUAGAAUCAUUAUAUACAUUAUAAGCAUAAAAUGAGUUUAAUGUAUGUGCUUUGAAAAGAUGGGGAAAACAGAAAAUCAGGGAGGACUGAUUUUAAUGCUGCUCAAAAUGAUUUUGAAAUUUUCUGCACAUCUUUGUUACUAACGGUGCAUUUUCCAUGAAAUUUAGGGAUGACAUGUGGUGCUUUCAUCUCCUUAAAAUUAAUAUACUUCUCUUUCUGUUUUUCUCAGUUUCUUCAAAGUUCUUUUUAGAACACUGUGCAAAGAGACAGAGAGAAAAUUCUCCACUCGAUGUGUGAACAUAUCUGUUAUUAAUGCUGGGGGGGAGUUAAGUGUGUGCUUCUAGAGGAGAAUAUACCCCUGCGUUAAACACUGAAAUCAACCCUAUCAAAAAGGUGCAAGGAUAUUUAGCUGCAGCACACCUGAUGCAUUCAAGGGCCAAAUUCCUUAGAAUCUUUUAAAGUGAUCAAGAUCUCUUUUGUUAAGAGCGCUCCAAUGAUUUCAGAAUAUAACUGUACUUAAGUAGCCGAGGAAGUGUCUUGCUCUUGUCUCGUGAAAAGCUUUCUUUUAUGUUUUAUUGUUGUUUUCUUUUUUUGCUGUAGUCAUUUGGUUUAUGUUUAGCAUCAUACUUUCAAGACAAAGUUAAAAAUUUAAAGAAUAAUUUCUUCCUGCUAGCACAUAAUGCUGACUAAGUAUUUCAAAAUCUACAGCACUUGCAGAAUGCAAGCAUUAUGCUUAUAAUGUAUAUAAUGAUUCCAGACAAUAUGAGAAGGACACUGGGAUUCUUCCUACUUUGAUAUAUAAAGUGGUGAGCAAACGCAGAAGUCUCCAUGGUGUUGUGUGUCUGCGGGAGCUGUUCUGGUCACUGAUACUUCUAAAGCUCCCUUAAACAAAUGUUAAAGCUUUGUAAUGGGCCUGGCAAUGGAGAAUGGCCAUGAAAUUCCCUUAACCCUUUUAGGGCACUUCAGCAGGAGAAGUGAUCACACAAGAAACAGUAAACUGCGCUUCAAAGGCAGCAUCCUGAUAUGACAACAGAUGUAGAUAAUGCACUUCAUGAUGAAACUGCUUGAUACAGAGAAAAACACGUUGUAACUGCCUUCACCCUGAAAGGGGUUUAAAAAUGCUGCCUGCCAACUCCACAAAAAACAGAGCUGCUAUUUCAGUUAAAGGCCGGUGGAUUGUAUUUUUCGUGUCAGUUUUCACUAACCUCAAACAUCACUGUUAUGACAGACUGUCAUCCAACCAAACCAGCACUGUGGUGCCAUUCAGGCAAGAAAGAAGAAAGCAAACACAAAGGAAACUUAGAAGUCCGAGCAGUAAGAGCGGGUGUCUGUGAGUGCACUUUUGUGCAGCGAUACUGAUUACUGAAAAUGAAACACUUAAAAGAAAACAAACCCAAAAAAGUGAUUUCUGAGCCAUUGGUGUUUUCUUGCCUGGCAAUUUCUCUUUGUUCUGUUUCAUGACAUCAGCCUCAGUGGUUGAAAGGGUGUUCUGGGCCAGAUGUCAAUCACUAUGUCUGACAUAAACAAAAAUAGCUAAAAAGACAUGCCAGCAUCUUCCUUUUGUUUUCCCAUUAGCUCCAUUUUUCUUUUCAGAGGCUGACAAAAAAUUACUGCCUCCGAGUGAAUUCAGUAAUGUCACUAUAUAUCUAAUAUCUAGGAGACCUUUUGUUUUAGCUUUACUGGGCUUAACCACAAAAGACACUUGACAUUGACAAAGAGUCUGUCAAAUACACAAUGAUCAGUGCAGUGAAAUCUCUCAUGACAGAAGGGCACUAUUCUGCACCCCCAGCCUGCAGCAGCCUAUCUGAGUAAAAUGUGCUGGAGCACACGCAGCAGCUGAACCAUUGCAGAGCAGGCCAUAAGCUGAGAUGUGUCUUGUUUAAAGUGUCAUAGUAUAUUAGUGUAAUUAAAACCGCCAAAAGAAUAGAAAAGAUAGAUGGAAAUGUUACAUUACUUGUUUCUAGAGAUUAACCUCCAGCCAGAACUGAAAUACAGAGACACAUUUUGCAUGUCUUAGAGCUCUGAUAUGGAAGAAAACAAGCCUGAGUGUAUGUCUCUUGAAGUGUGAGACAUGAAGUCAUAGUUCCUGUAUUUACACAAUAAAGCAGAAACAGCGCUUCAGACAGGCACGCUGUUUUCUCUCUGAUUACAGCUCCCGUUGUGGCUGUACUCUGCAAAGCAGCUGUAUCAUCUCUCAGCUACUUCCCUUUUACUCUCACUGCCUUCGUGCUUGGAAGGUCUUGAGACCCUUGGGCCCACAGAUGUGCUGGUGUCAAUGCCUUCUGCUCCCUCGGCAUCUGCCAGCGUUGCGUGGGCCCAGCCUAGAGGCAGAGCACCCUGUCCCUAUGGUGUCUGCAGAAGACACAGCUCAGCUCCAGACUCAGCAACACCCAGCUAGGAAGAUGUUUGAAGAAUGGCUUCAGUCUGACCUUUAUAUACCAGGCUGCAUGCUUGCUUCUCUGUUGAGUCUAUAGAUAAAACUGCAUGGCUUUCUGAAAUUGACUCUGAAAAUUAUGUUCCCAGAACUGCAUGUUUUCCUUCCCAUGCUUCAUUACCUCUGAUAACUAUUCAAGCCUAACUAGUUACGAUCUCUGUUCUAACCAUGAGGCAAGUUAUAUCUGGUGGUGAAAAACCCUUGGAGUUUUUAUGGACCUGUUCAGCUGUGUUGGCUGAACGUUGGUUUAUCCAGUAUCUGGAGAGGACCUCAUCUGGCUUCAGCAGUUCUGAAGCAUACAAAAGCAGCGUGGUUUUCUUCUAAUGUAAGCCUUACAUUCAAGGAGAAGAUGCAUUAAUCAGAUUCAUCUCAGUGACUGUGAAAUUCCUGAGGAUGUUAUUACUUUCAAGUCAGAUUAACGGAGUAAUUUCCAGCUUAGUUGGGCCAGAAAGUAAGAAGGAGCUCCCAGAGCAGAACAAGUGUCUGACAUGACACCACAACGCAAAAACAAACAGCUUACAGCUACUUUUCCUUCAUGGAAAUCUGUACAGAAGUUGUCAGCUGGGGACUUUGUGAGUUUCUGUCUGGAGUCAAAAAUUCAGUGUAAGUGCACAGAAGAGUGUGAGGAGAGAGCAUUUCAGCUCCUUCAACCCUGUGCACAAAACCUCUGAGGACUUCAGAUAGGAUUUUAGCAUUUCUCACAGUCUUCAAAUGUUGUGCUGUGUAAGGAUGUGCUUAUACAUAAUUUUGUAAUUGAAAUGGCAUGUUUACUGUUCCAUUUCAUGCUUGAUUGUGUUUUUUAAACACCUUUACUCAUGCUGCUAGAAGUGGGAUUAUAAUUAAAAUGUCCUGU